GUGUCUGAAAAUAAAAUAAAAACUCUAAAAUUUUUGGAAAAAUUAUUUGAUUUGUUUUUUGUCAAGAAAAGUUUGAAUAUCUUCAAAUAUUAAAUAACCAAUGUCUGUGGAGGAUUGGACUUUAUGUAAAAAUAUACCCCUUGAAAAUCUUAGAGAAUUAGCUGAAAAUCACGCGUUCUUGUCAAGAAGGAUCAAUGGAUAUUUUCGAAAUCUAAAUCUAAACUAGUUGUUUAACAACGAUUCAAGAAUAAAGCCUCCGAUGAAAGAAGACUUCGUAAAGAGGUUUGUCAAAAUGAAUUUUCUUCACCACGUCUAAUUGAAAAGGAUCAAAUCUGGGUUCUUAACCCGUUUUGCUCUGCGUGGAGAUAUUGGUAUCCUCUUUAAAACAUGAAUGGCAAACAUCUCAACUCUGUCUGGAAAUCGGUUCCGGUUACGAAUAAUCUGCAGAAUAACGAAAGUUUUAUUGAAACAUAUUUUGACUUGCGUUGACCUUUUAUGGAGGAGGUACCAAAGGAGUGGACCAAUAAUAUCCAUGUCUAAUCUGAAAUAACCCAGAUAUAAUCAUUACAUCGUAUCCUCGGCCAUCAGACUAUACCGACUACUUCCAUCGAUUUAGAUCAGAUAUGUAAUAUUUUUUGUUAAAUUUGUGCGUGAAGAAAAGGUUCUAGUGGACCAAAGUGUUUCAGGUCAUCAAAUACUGAUAAAAAUAUUUCGAUAUAUCGUUUUUGGCCGACAGAUGUAUGCCUUAAGACAUCCUCCUUUUU